rnacentral:rRNA from 1 species
ACGCUGGCGGCACGCCUAACACAUGCAAGNCGAGCGGCAGCAUAGUUAGUAGCAAUACUAACUGAUGGCAAGCGGCGGACGGGUGAGGAAUACGUAGGAACCUACCCUCAAGCGGGGGACAACCAAGGGAAACUUUGGCUAAUACCGCAUAAUCUCGAGAGAGAAAAGCUGCCCGCAAGGGUGGCACUUGAGGAGGGGCCUGCGUCCGAUUAGCUAGUUGGUAGGGUAAGAGCCUACCAAGGCGAUGAUCGGUAACUGGUCUGAGAGGACGACCAGUCACACUGGGACUGAGACACGGCCCAGACUCCUACGGGAGGCAGCAGUGGGGAAUAUUGGACAAUGGGGGCAACCCUGAUCCAGCGAUGCCGCGUGAGUGAAGAAGGCCUUCGGGUCGUAAAGCUCUUUAGGUUGGGAAGAAGGGUAUAAGGUUAAUAACCUUGUACUUUGACGGUACCGACAGAAUAAGCACCGGCAAACUCUGUGCCAGCAGCCGCGGUAAUACAGAGGGUGCGAGCGUUAAUCGGAAUUACUGGGUGUAAAGGGCGCGUAGGCGGUAAGAUGUGUGUGGUGUGAAAGCCCC